UACGGGGGGGGCAAGCGUUGUUCGGAAUUACUGGGCGUAAAGCGCACGUAGGCGGCUUUGUAAGUUAGAGGUGAAAGCCCGGGGCUCAACUCCGGAACUGCCUUUAAAACUGCAUCGCUUGAAUCCAGGAGAGGUGAGUGGAAUUCCGAGUGUAGAGGUGAAAUUCGUAGAUAUUCGGAAGAACACCAGUGGCGAAGGCGGCUCACUGGACUGGUAUUGACGCUGAGGUGCGAAAGCCAGGGGAGCGAACGGG
rnacentral:rRNA from 1 species